UUUGUGUUUAGCUUUGAAAACAGGUAUCACGGGUUCUGCCCGUUUGCAGACCCUAAUUAAAACUUGAAAAGCAAAAGUAGACAAUACUUGAGAGUACCACCGCCGCCUCCUCCUCCUCCGCCUCCUCCUCCUAGGAGAGGAGAGAGACGCCUUGUACUUUCCUUUCCUUGUUAUAGCAAACCAGUCAAAUCCAAUCCACUCGGAAGCAGUCAGACUUUCUGAUCCUGUCAUCGUUAGCAAAUUUAUCACAAAUCAAAUCACACCUCUGGUCUCCCAACAACUCCCAGAUUUACCAUGUCCUCUGCAACAAAUUCUGAUUUCUUCAGAUCUACUUUUGGUUGUGGUUUUCAAUCUUCAAUUUUCUCAAAAGAUGUGAAUUUUGCCCAAUAUUCAUCACCAAAGUCAAGAAAAUUCUACAAUUCUGGGGGCUAGGUGGAUGCAUCGAUUGCUGAUGAUGAUUAUGGAGAAAAGAAGAAAAGGAAAAACAAGCACAUCCACCCUUGUUAUUGGGAGAGGCUAUGGAUGGACGACGAUCCAAUCUUGGACCGCUUCAGCGUGACAAGUGAAAGCUAAGUAACAAAACUCCUUUCCUACACAAUACUCCUUCUUUUAGAGGGGCUUCUAGUUUUAUGCUCCUAGACUAAGGGCUACUUUGAUAUUACUAUGUUUUUAAGACACUCUGCUUGCAGAGGAGGACCUCGGAACUCCGAGUGUUAAGAACCAUAUUGUUGGGCCUAUUUGCUCUCUUUCAGCCCAUACUUGUUAGUUCUCAACUUGCUUUGUUGCUCAAGGCCCAGGCUAUUAGGACGACACACGAUGGCUGCGUUUUAUUCUUCUAGCUAGGGUUUUCCCUUCCAGCUGAAUAUAAGUAAAUGUGGCUGUGCUCUGUUAAAGGGGAUCUGAUGAAUGAAAUGAACCUUCUUUCCUUUUAAA